GACCGGAGUGGACGCAUCACUGGUGUUCGGGUUGUCAUGCCAAUGGCAUUGCCCGGUAGCUAAAUGCGGAAAAGAUAAGUGCUGAAAGCAUCUAAGCACGAAACUUGCCCCAAGAUGAGUUCUCCCUGAGACUUAGAGUCUCCUGAAGGAACGUUGAAGACGACGACGUUGAUAGGCCGGGUGUGUAAGCGCAGCGAUGCGUUGAGCUAACCGGUACUAAUGAACCGUGAGGCUUAACCUUACAACGCCGAAG
rnacentral:rRNA from 1 species